rnacentral:lncRNA from 1 species
CCGGCGCUUGAGGGAAGCAUGUGAGGCACAUGCUUGCGGCCCUCCAUAAAUAUAUAAAUUUUCGGCCCCAUUUUUGACUAAAAUCUUAUGUAGCUAUGUUGGUUAAGUAUAGAGGUUUGGUAACUAGAGGUGGGAGGUUCGAUUUUCCCAAGUCCCAAUCAUUUCAAUUAAUUUUAAUUUUUGUUUUUAAGGUAGUUUAUAGGCCAUAAUUUUUUUUCGGCUUGUGGCCCAAUAUUCUUU